ACUUAUUUUGAUUUAUUUAAAUCAAGAAUGUUCUUGAAAAAGUUAUUUAUAUAACGAGUUUAUUGCAAAUUUUACAUCUUUACAAGAUUAGGAGGAAAAUUAGAGAAAACUCUUCUGAAAUACACUAGCCCAAAGAAGUCUGGUAAAAUUCUUGACUUCAUCAUAGCACUACGCCUUCUACUCUUUAGCAUAUGAGAAAAUAGUAACUAUAAUCAUAGUUUAGAAAAUGGAUCGAGAUAUUCUGCCAUUAUAUAUCCUCCUUCGGUUAUGAAGAUAUCCUAAGUACUUUCUUCCUGUAAAUACUAUAUUUCAGAAACCAUGCUGCAAUGCUAAAACAACUGAUAUAACAUAGUGUUACAACGACUUCUUUUAAGCAGAACAACAAUAAUGGUUUUUAAAGGAGAUUCAAUUCUAGCUGAAACUGAGAGUGCAUGUCUCGACUGCGAAACGUGAGCAACGUUAGAAUAAAUAACUUUCUAUAGAGGAGAUGGCAGUUAAUCGAAUUCCAAUAAAACAACAUUAAUAUAAAUAGAUAUUAUUUUCUGCUAUUUUUAUAACAGACAUAACGGAUAUAUAUAUAAUAUUGAUUUGUAAGGUCGAAGGUCGUUCAGGAUAAAUUGGCUACUUUUUUUGAGGUGUAUGUAGUCCGAAUUAUCUAAGAAAAAUAUAUCAGUUUGUUUGAUAUAAGCAACCUUCAGGUCGAAUCAAGGUCACCCAACAUAAUAAGGAAAAAGAUAUUUUACGAAGAUUUCUAUCUUGAUUAUAACCGGUCAGUGUGAAUGGCAGCUACAUAUAUACUAUAGUCGUCCGAUCUGAACAAUAUAUACGGAGAUUCUAACGAUUCUUUGGAUAAUAACCUAUUGCAAAUUGUAAUAAAACUAAAUGAAUAAGGUGACCGAACUAUUUAAAUAGAAGUCUCCGCAAAAAGGAACUCAAAGGUUCAAAGUAGAAAAUAAUUUGUAAAAGAGUGGCCAGUAGAAGUGUUUGUCACCGGUUUAAAGUUUUUAAUCAAUGAAAU